CCUACGGGAGGCAGCAGUGAGGAAUAUUGGUCAAUGGACGAGAGUCUGAACCAGCCAAGUAGCGUGAAGGAUGACUGCCCUAUGGGUUGUAAACUUCUUUUAUAUGGGAAUAAAAUGUUACACGUGUGGGAUUUUGUAUGUACCAUAUGAAUAAGGAUCGGCUAACUCCGUGCCAGCAGCCGCGGUAAUACGGAGGAUCCGAGCGUUAUCCGGAUUUAUUGGGUUUAACGGGAGCGUAGGUGGAUUGUUAAGUCAGUUGUGAAAGUUUGCGGCUCAACCGUAAAAUUGCAGUUGAAACUGGCAGUCUUGAGUACAGUAGAGGUGGGCGGAAUUCGUGGUGUAGCGGUGAAAUGCUUAGAUAGCACGAAGAACUCCGAUUGCGAAGGCAGUUCACUGGACUGCAACUGACACUGAGGCUCGAAAGUGUGGGUAUCAAACAGGAUUAGAUACCCGUGUAGUC
rnacentral:rRNA from 1 species